AUGUCAGCAGUCCUCCCUGUUGUGAUAGAUUGCAUAGGAUGCUGCUUCCGGAUCCAAAGGAACAAUCGACAGACGUCACAAAGAUCCACCUCUGGCUGCAUCAGAAAAUUAUGCUCCUGGCGCCACCAGCGAGUGCACCCCGCUAAUGGGUCGGGGACAGAAGAAACCCCGGGCUCCCAUGAAAGGCUGCCCAGCACCGCAGGAGGAAUAGAGGCUCCAAGUGGCUGCACAAUGCCGGCCGAUGACGCAACUAAUAAUAAUGGCAUGGCUUUGGAGCGCCCCACUCCAGUGACAAACAAUCGGGGUGAAGAAGAAGAAGGUGGGUCUUCCUUGCGGGCAUUGGUUGGAGAGCAGCCAGAUCCUGGGUUCCUUUUGGAAAGGGGGUAGUCUGGGAUGUGGAGCAGGCAGCUCUUUCCCAGUCAUAGUGAUGCCCUGGUGGCACCUGCCCUGGACACAAGUCUCUUGUGUUGAUUCCUUGGGUUGUGACACAUUCCGAGGGACAGGGAGUGAGGUCCAUGUGUGAGCACAUGUGGUGUAAGUAUCUGUUUCCUCAUGAGCUCUCUCCUAUUUAUACAGAAAAUACACCGCUCAACGUUCCUUAAGAAACAUCCCAUCACCUCUGCGUACCACCGCUAUAGGCAUGCAUUCGCCCCUCACCACUGCUGUCCCCACGUUGGCUUAAUUUUCCCGUUGCUCAGGUGGAGAUGGUGCAGAGAGAGUUGGCCCAAGCUCUUGACCUCCUACAUGGGAAAGCCAAAGUGGGCACCAGGCUGGGUUCCCUAUGGGGACGCUCUGGACCCCUGACCUGCACCUCUCCCUCAGCCAGGACUUGGUCGUUCGUGGGGAGCACGGAGCGGGGAGGGUCCCUGCUCCGUGUCUAUGCCCGGGAAUUCCAGGGUCUCCAGAGGGCCUGUCGAUGCUGUGCAUUUUAAAAGGUCCCUGUCAGUGCUGCGGUCAUUGCUUCAACAUGGCCAAAGCAGAUGGGAAUCGGCGAGGCGUAUGCUUGUAUUGGACAGUGUCACUGUCAUUCUCACACUUGACCACCCUAGGUAGCACACACCCAGGCGACCUUGCAAGUAAGAGCUCACAGUUCACCCUCAUCCUUAGCCUGGUGUGCGGCACCAGUGUACAAACUCGCUGCCCUACUUGGUGAGAAGGACUCCGUGCUCCCUCUGUGUUUCUCUCCAUGAAGUAAGUCCCUCUUGUUGUAAGGCUCUUGGGAGGGCAGACAUCCUUUUUGCUCAAGGCCCAUGCACCAAAUGAAGCCUGCAGAAAAACUGUCAUGUGAUGGAUAGUGGUUGGAUUUCAGUAUUGUCAUGUGUUCUAUUUUUGGUUUUUAAGAUCAACGUUUUUGGGUUAAGAUCCCUUCAUUAGCAUACUUUUCCUA
rnacentral:lncRNA from 1 species